AUACCAAUGGAUAAUGUUAGUAGCUUCUUACUGAUAUUGAGAGAAGCAUGAUGUUACCAUAUGAAAACAAUGAAGGAAGAAGCAAUGUAAACAAGAUGAGUCUCUCACACAAGUAACUUCACAAGAAAUGGAUUAAAACCCAAAAGGAUAGGAACUUGUUUUUACAUGAGGAAAUAUUGAGAUUCAGUUGGUUAAAAAUUAAGGUUCAAAGCUGAACUAUGUGAGGUAGGUACUAUUAUUAGCUUCAUUUUAUAAAUUGGGAAAUUGAGAUAUAGAAGCUCAUAUGAAUGUAUGUAGCAGAGCUAGAAUUUGAACCCAGACAGUCUGAUUCAGAGAUCAUGGGCUUAACCACUCUGGUGGAGUUUUCUUAUCAUGUUAUUUACUGUUUCUCUAGGCAAAUGAAAAAUUUCCAAUAUAUAAACUUUUACAAAAAUAUCAGUCUGAGAGGCUACCAUCAAGUCUUAUUUAAUAUGACAUAUUGAUAUGAUGAUGGGCUUUGAGUAGAUAGAUGAGUGGAUAGAGAUGAAACCUCUAUUAGUGAUCAACUUCCAACUUUGAUGAGCAACCAACGGUCAUGAACCCAGAUAAAAUCACAGAUUCUACAAUCAACAUUAGGUUUCUUGGGUGGGAUGAUGGAUGGGAACGUAUCAAGGCAUUCUUACCAAAGUUCAUAAUGGACACUUUAACCUUUUCUCAUUAACAAGUAAGAGUAAAUCCC